rnacentral:rRNA from 1 species
GAUGAACGCUAGCGGCAGGCCUAAUACAUGCAAGUCGAACGGAUAUAUGUUUUUCGGAAUAUAUAUUAGUGGCGCACGGGUGAGUAACACGUACAUAACUUGCCCUCAAGCGGGGGAUAGCCUUGGGAAACUGAGAGUAAUACCCCAUAGAAUUAUUGGACGGCAUCGUUUGAUAAUUAAAACUACGGUGUUUGGGGAUAGAUGUGCGUCUGAUUAGCUAGUUGGUGAGGUAACUGCUCACCAAGGCGACGAUCAGUAGGGGGCGUGAGAGCGUGGCCCCCCACACGGGUACCGAGACACGGACCCGACUCCUACGGGAGGCAGCAGUAAGGAAUAUUGGUCAAUGGAGGGAACUCUGAACCAGCCAUGCCGCGUGAAGGAUGACGGCCCUCUGGGUUGUAAACUUCUUUUGGAUGGGGCGAAAAAACGGGAUUUAUCCUGGACUGACGGUACCAUCAGAAUAAGCACCGGCUAACUCCGUG